UACGGAGGGUGCGAGCGUUGUCCGGAAUCAUUGGGCGUAAAGGGCGCGUAGGUGGCCCGGUCAGUUCGUGGUGAAAGCGCGGGGCUCAACCCUGCGUCGGCCAUGAAUACUGCCGCGGCUGGAGCACUGUAGAGGCAGGCGGAAUUCCGGGUGUAGCGGUGGAAUGCGUAGAGAUCCGGAAGAACACCGGUGGCGAAGGCGGUCUGCUGGGCCAAGACUGACGCUGAGGCGCGACAGCGUGGGGAGCAAACAGG
rnacentral:rRNA from 1 species